rnacentral:rRNA from 1 species
AGCGAACGCUGGCGGCAGGCCUAACACAUGCAAGUCGAACGAACCUUUCGGGGUUAGUGGCGGACGGGUGAGUAACACGUGGGAACGUGCCUUUAGGUUCGGAAUAACUCAGGGAAACUUGUGCUAAUACCGAAUGUGCCCUUCGGGGGAAAGAUUAAUCGCCUUUAGAGCGGCCGGCGUCUGAUUAGCUAGUUGGUUGAGGUAAUGGCUCACCAAGGCGACGAUCAGUAGCUGGUCUGAGAGGAUGAUCAGCCACAUUGGGACUGAGACACGGCCCAAACUCCUACGGGAGGCAGCAGUGGGGAAUCUUGCGCAAUGGGCGAAAGCCUGACGCAGCCAUGCCGCGUGAAUGAUGAAGGUCUUAGGAUUGUAAAAUUCUUUCACCGGGGACGAUAAUGACGGUACCCGGAGAAGAAGCCCCGGCUAACUUCGUG